UACGUAGGGUGCGAGCGUUGCCCGGAUUUAUUGGGCGUAAAGCGCGCGUAGGCGGCUUUGCAAGUCGGGUGUGAAAUCCCCAGGCUUAACCUGGGAACUGCAUUCGAGACUGCAUUGCUAGAGUAUGGGAGAGGGAAGUGGAAUUUCCGGUGUAGCGGUGAAAUGCGUAGAUAUCAGGAGGAACACCAAUGGCGAAGGCAGCUCGCUAGGACGUGACUGACGCUGAGACGCGAAAGCGUGGGGAGCAAACAGG
rnacentral:rRNA from 1 species